AGAGUUUGAUCAUGGCUCAGAACGUACGCUGGCGGCACGCCUAACACAUGCAAGUCGAACGAAGUAGCAAUACUUAGUGGCAGACGGGUGAGUAACAUGUAGGUAUCUGCCCUUUGGCCUGGAAUAACACGAGGAAACUUGUGCUAAUACCGGAUAAGUCUUUACGGAGAAAGCUUUAUGCACCAUUGGAUGAGCCUGCACUUGAUUAGUUUGUUGGUGGGGUAAUGGCCUACCAAGACUGUGAUCAAUAGCUGAUUUGAGAGGAUGAUCAGCCACAUUGGGACUGAGACACGGCCCAAACUCCUACGGGAGGCAGCAGUGGGGAAUCUUGCACAAUGGAGGAAACUCUGAUGCAGCGAUGCCGCGUGAGUGAAGAAGGCCCUUGGGUUGUAAAGCUCUUUCGUCGGGGAAGAAAAUGACUGUACUCGAAUAAGAAGGUCCGGCUAACUUCGUGCCAGCAGCCGCGGUAAUACGAAGGGACCUAGCGUAGUUCGGAAUUACUGGGCUUAAAGAGUUCGUAGGUGGUUGAAAAAGUUAGUGGUGAAAUCCCAGAGCUUAACUCUGGAACUGCCAUUAAAACUUUUCAGCUAGAGUAUGAUAGAGGAAAGCAGAAUUUCUAGUGUAGAGGUGAAAUUCGUAGAUAUUAGAAAGAAUACCAAUUGCGAAGGCAGCUUUCUGGAUCAUUACUGACACUGAGGAACGAAAGCAUGGGUAGCGAAGAGGAUUAGAUACCCUCGUAGUCCAUGCCGUAAACGAUGUGUGUUAGACGUUGGAAAUUUAUUUUCAGUGUCGCAGGGAAACCGAUAAACACACCGCCUGGGGAGUACGACCGCAAGGUUAAAACUCAAAUGAAUUGACGGGGACCCGCACAAGUAGUGGAGCAUGUGGUUUAAUUCGAAGAUACGCGCAGAACCUUACCAACACUUGACAUGUUCGUCGCGACUCUAAGAGAUUAGAGUUUUCGGUUCGGCCGGACGAAACACAGGUGCUGCAUGGCUGUCGUCAGCUCGUGUCGUGAGAUGUUGGGUUAAGUCCCGCAACGAGCGCAACCCUCACUUUUAGUUGCCAUCAUUAAGUUGGGCACUCUGAAAGAACUGCCAGUGAUAAGCUGGAGGAAGGUGGGGAUGACGUCAAGUCCUCAUGGCCCUUACGUGUUGGGCUACACACGUGCUACAAUGGUAUCUACAACAGGAAGCAAGACUGCGAAGUUAAGCAAAUCCCUAAAAGAUACCUCAGUUCGGAUUGCACUCUGCAACUCGAGUGCAUGAAGCUGGAAUUACUAGUAAUCGUGGAUCAGCGUGCCACGGUGAAUGCGUUCCCGGGUCUUGUACACACCGCCCGUCACACCAUGGGAGUUGGUUCUACCUUAAGGCAAGGUUUCAAACCCUUGACCACGGUAUAGUCAGCGACUGGGGUGAAGUCGUAACAAGGUA
rnacentral:rRNA from 1 species